AAGCCAGACUCCUACGGGAGGCAGCAGUGGGGGAUAUUGCACAAUGGGGGGAACCCUGAUGCAGCGACGCCGCGUGGGUGAAGGAGCGUUUCGGCGCGUAAAGCCCUAUCGGCAGGGAAGAAGGAGGACGGUACCUGACUAAGAAGCCCCGGCUAACUACGUGCCAGCAGCCGCGGUAAUACGUAGGGGGCAAGCGUUAUCCGGAUUUACUGGGUGUAAAGGGGGCGCAGACGGCAGCGCAAGCCAGGAGUGAAAGCCCGGGGCCCAACCCCGGGACUGCUCUUGGAACUGCGCGGCUGGAGUGCAGGAGGGGCAGGCGGAAUUCCUGGUGUAGCGGUGAAAUGCGUAGAUAUCAGGAGGAACACCGGUGGCGAAGGCGGCCUGCUGGACUGCGACUGACGUUGAGGCCCGAAAGCGUGGGGAGCAAACAGGAUUAGAUACCCGCGUACA
rnacentral:rRNA from 1 species